GGUUUAGAGUUGUCAUGGCUUAUUAUUGUUUUUGGUACAUGUAUGUUGAUGUUUAUAAAGGAGAUCCUUAUGUUUAGAAGUUCUGCUCGCAAUUGAAAGCGAGUAUUUAAGUGACACGCAUGUUUAUAUAGUACACAGGUGAGCUGUUUUUCUCACCUGAGUGGUUUUACUUUAAACAGCUCGAUUAGAGUUCAUAAAUGAAGGCAAUUGCAAUGUUAU
rnacentral:lncRNA from 1 species